UACGGAGGGUGCAAGCGUUGUCCGGAAUCACUGGGCGUAAAGGGCGCGUAGGCGGCUCAUGAAGGCUGUGGUGAAAGUCCGGGGCUCAACCUCGGAUCGGCCGUGGCGACUCGUGGGCUGGAGCACUGUAGAGGCGGGUGGAAUUCCGGGUGUAGCGGUGGAAUGCGUAGAGAUCCGGAAGAACACCAGUGGCGAAGGCGGCUCUCUGGAACGCAACUGACGCUGAGACGCGAAAGCGUGGGGAGCAAACAGG
rnacentral:rRNA from 1 species